UACAGGGGGGGCAAGCGUUGUUCGGAAUUACUGGGCGUAAAGGGUUCGUAGGUGGCCACCUAAGUCAGACGUGAAAUCCCUCAGCUUAACUGGGGAACUGCGUCUGAUACUGGUUGGCUUGAGUGCAGGAGAGGAACGCGGAAUUCCAGGUGUAGCGGUGAAAUGCGUAGAUAUCUGGAGGAACACCGAUGGCGAAGGCAAUCCCCUGGACCUGUACUGACGCUCAUGCACGAAAGCGUGGGGAGCAAACAGG
rnacentral:rRNA from 1 species